rnacentral:pre_miRNA from 1 species
CAAAGUGCUGUUCGUGCAGGUAGUGUGAUAACCUGACCUACUGCUGAGCUAGCACUUCCAGA